CGGCGGACGGGUGAGUAACACGUGGAUAACCUACCUAUAAGACUGGGAUAACUUCGGGAAACCGGAGCUAAUACCGGAUAACAUAUUGAACCGCAUGGUUCAAUAGUGAAAGGCGGCUUUGCUGUCACUUAUAGAUAGAUCCGCGCCGUAUUAGCUAGUUGGUAAGGUAACGGCUUACCAAGGCAACGAUACGUAGCCGACCUGAGAGGGUGAUCGGCCACACUGGAACUGAGACACGGUCCAG
rnacentral:rRNA from 1 species